GCUCCGGUGGCCUAGUGGUUAGAGCGUCCGCCUCGGAUGCGGGAGGUCGUGGGUUUGACUAAAGACUUACAGAAAUGGUACUAACAGCUGCCUCGCUUGACGCU